rnacentral:rRNA from 1 species
CGCGCAGGCGGAUAUUUAAGUCAGAUGUGAAAUCUCGGAGCUCAACUCCGAAACUGCGUCUGAAACUAUUUAUCUUGAAUGUCGGAGAGGGAGAUGGAAUUUCGCAUGUAGGGGUAAAAUCCGUAGAGAUGCGAAAGAACACCAGAGGCGAAAGCGGUCUCCUGGACGAUUAUUGACGCUGAGGCGCGAAAGCGUGGGGAGCAAACA